rnacentral:lncRNA from 1 species
UUUUGGGGGGGGAUGAAGAAAAUUAGAAAGAAAAUCUCUAGGUCUUACUUCUAAUUUUAGGUUGAAAGAAGAACAAUUAAGGAGAAAAGAUGAGUUGGGAAUAGUAUUCAAUAAGACUCAAGAAGAAGAAAAAGGUAGUUGGCAAGACCAGAUCAGGCAAUGAUGAAGCUGAUGAUGAAUACACUCAGUAAACAUACAGGAUACUCAAAAGAAGUAGGAAAUUGCUUUUUUUCAGCUCUAGGAAGUAGGUGCUUCUAUCAUCCCCAAUUUACAACUGAGGAAACAAGCCAAGAGCAGCAAUUGCUUAACCCAGUAGACACCUGA